rnacentral:rRNA from 1 species
AUGUGGAAAACUCCCGCACCCUUGAAGAUUAAGAUAUUCGUGUGGCAGCUCCUGCGCAAUCGCCUCCCCUCGGGGACUGAGGUACUUAAGCGACACGGCCCAGGGAAUGGCCUGUGUCCUCUCUGCGCGGUACCGGAGACGGAAACCCACAUCCUAUUCUCCUGUACGGCGGGGAGGGUGAUGUGGACGUUCGUACACGAGGCGUUGGGCCCGAUUGGGAGGCCUUGA